UACAGAGGUCCCAAGCGUUGUUCGGAUUCAUUGGGCGUAAAGGGUGCGUAGGCGGUGAAGUAAGUUGGAUGUGAAAUCCCAGGGCUCAACCCUGGAACUGCAUUCAAUACUGCUUUGCUAGAGUACUGGAGAGGAGAUUGGAAUUCACGGUGUAGCAGUGAAAUGCGUAGAUAUCGUGAGGAAGACCAGUGGCGAAGGCGACUUACUGGACACAUAUUGACGCUGAGGUGCGAAAGCGUGGGGAGCAAACAGG
rnacentral:rRNA from 1 species